rnacentral:lncRNA from 1 species
AAGAUGCUUGUGAAUUUAUAAAACAGCAAAUGUGGAGGGGAUGGAUGAAGAGAGAGACCCAGUGUCUUAGCAAGGUCCAUCAGCAUCCCUUUGUUAUAACUUUUGUGAUGAAAUCAAAGUCAAGUAGGAAAAUUUGUGUCUUUUUUUUUUAACUUUUUAUUGAUUCUUUGUGAAUUUCACAUCAUGUUUUAUGUAAAGAUAUUAUUGGGAUUUUUUUGUUGUUGCCUGGCUAAGAUGUUAUAAUUAUCUUAAAGAAACAACAAGAAAAGCCGGGCGUGGUGGCGCACGCCUUUCAUCCCAGCCAUCGGGAGGCAGAGGCAGGCGGAUUUCUGAGUUCGAGGCCAGCCUGGUCUACAAAGUGAGUUCCAGGACAGCCAGGGCUACACAGAGAAACCCUGUCUUGAAAAACCAAAAAGAAAAAAGGAAGAGAGAGAGAGAGAAAAGAAAAGGAAAAAAAAGAAACAAGAAGAAGCCUGGGCAGUGAUGGCUCAAGCCUUCAAUCCAGCACUCAGAGGAGGAUCUCUCAGUUCACGGCCAGCUUUGAACAGCGCGAGUUCCAGGACAGCCAAGGCUACAACAGAGAAACCCUGUCUCAAAAAAACAAAAACCAAACCAACCAACC